UGACAACGAGGCCAGGGGGGGUAGACUGAACCCCCCCGCCUCCGAGACCCGGGGGGAAAAAACCGCAGGCUCAGCAGAUAGUCGGACAGCGCUGAGCGUCAGCCGUGCACCACGCCGGCGUCUGCCAGCACAGCCGGCGGCUUGAUCAAUGUUUCUUCGAUUGCUCGUCGUUCUUCACUAACGCCUUCCCGCCUUUGUUCCCGCGUUGUCUGUCGCGGAAAGCGCGAAGGAGAGAGCCGUAUGUACAGCCCCGGCUGGCGCGCGACCCGGUCUUUGCUGCUGCAGCUUGAUCGACUAAUGGGUCUUCGCCGGCAACGUUCCUUCGCUCGAGUCCCUGUCUGUGUUUCUCCCGGGAAGAAAACGCGCCGUUUCGAGCUAUAACACGAUGUUUUCUCGACCACCGUGCCGAAACGGAGCCGCCAGGAGAUUAGUCCCAAGGCCAUAACUAUGCGCCCCGUCGUCCGAAAUAAGAGUGACCCAGCGUGCGAAAAUCACAACUCACCAAGCGCGAGAUGUGGGCUUUGGUCCCACCUUGAACAACUGCAGGGUGAAGCCCCUUACAAUAAAGUGUUAAGUCUUCAGUCUUCUCCUUUUCGUCCCCACAUGCUCCACUUGCUGUAUUUAUGUCCUGAUA